rnacentral:rRNA from 1 species
GCUUACGGCCAUACCACCCUGACAUGCCCGAUCUCGUCCGAUCUCGGAAGCUAAGCAGGGUCGGGCUGGUUAGUACUUGGAUGGGAGACCGCCUGGGAAUACCAGGUGCUGUAAGCU